CUUGCCCUUCCACCUAGUUUCCAUGUUAUGAUGCAGCAAGAAGGCCCUUGCCAGAUGUGGCUCCUGGAUUGUGGACUUUUCAGCCCCCAGAACUGUGAGCCAAACAAACUUCUUUUGUUCAUAACUUCCCCAGUCUGUGAUAUCCUGUUACAGCAGCAGAAAAUGGACUAAGACACCCAGGGAUGUACCUGGAACCUGGAAAAAGGAACUCAGUGUUGUAAAGAAGUCUGAGGAAGCAGGCCAAGUGUGGUGGCUCCUGCCUAUAAUUGGAGCACAUUGGGAGGCUGAGGCAGGAGGAUUGCUUGAGCUCAGGAGUUCGAGGCCAGCCUGGGCAACAUAGCAAGACCCUGUCUCUACAAAAAAAAAAAAUGAAAAAAAUUAGCCGGGUGUGAUGAUGCACGCGUGUAGUCCAAGUUACUCAGGAAGCUGAGGUGGGAGGAUUGCUUGAACACAGGAAGUCAAGGCUGGAGUGAGCUGUGAUUGCACCACUGCACUCCAGCCUGGGUGACAGGGCAAGACCCUGUCUCUAAAAAAAAAAAGAGAUUUUACCCCUUUUUAAGAAAGUUGUUUUUCCUCCUCCCUAUUUGGAUAUUUUCAGAAAUGUAUAAAUAUUCUUGAAAUUUUAACUUUUGACAAG
rnacentral:lncRNA from 1 species